AUUGAACGCUGGCGGCAGGCCUAACACAUGCAAGUCGAACGAGUGGCGGACGGGUGAGUAAUGUCUGGGAAACUGCCUGAUGGAGGGGGAUAACUACUGGAAACGGUAGCUAAUACCGCAUACCAUCGGAUGUGCCCAGAUGGGAUUAGCUAGUAGGUGGGGUAAAGGCUCACCUAGGCGACGAUCCCUAGCUGGUCUGAGAGGAUGACAGGGCACACUGGAACUGAGACACGGUCCAGACUCCUACGGGAGGCAGCAGUGGGGAAUAUUGCACAAUGGGCACAAGCCGGAUGCAGACAUGCCGGGUGUAUGUAGAAGGCCUUCGGGUUGUAAAGUACUUUCAGCGGGGAGGCGUUACCCGCAGAGGAAGCACCGGCUAACUCCGUGCCAGCCGCCGCGGUAAUUC
rnacentral:rRNA from 1 species